UACAAGGGAUGCCCGAGAACAAUGUAUAUCUCUUGUCAGCAGGGAAGCGCUUCGAUCGGAUUGACUUUAGCUGACUGUUGACAAGUUUCUGAUAAGAUUAAUAUGCCGCACGAGCUUAAAGGUUAAGCAUGCAAAUCAGGCGGGAAGCAUUGACCGCUGAGAAGGACAUCCGAGGAAUUCAGAAGGAGCUGCAGCAGCAGGAGGCUUUAGGCUGCAAUGCACUGGAUGGUCUGGAAGUCUGGAUAGCCACCAGGGGUUGAACAAUGCCUGCACUGAUUCCUAACUGACAUACUUUCUUGGAGUGUAGAAACCACCUCGGCCCACAUGUGCCCGUUUUUGUGGGCUUUGGUGUGUUUUUGUGGCAUGCAGACCUGACCUCCAAUCGACAGAGCCUGUGGCGCCUUCUUCGACGGCUUUCCAAACUGCACAAUUUUCGCCUACGCCGGGUGAAAGAGUCUGGCCAAGAUGCUGGCUGGGGCGGAGGACUCGGAGUCGGAGGCGGAGGAGUUGGGCUGCCCAGUCCAUAAAUGGACACACACGAUCCGUGGAGUACAGUCCACAAAACCCCAUGCGGCCAUAAAUGGAGCUGGCCAUUAGAAAGUGGCUGUGGUGGUGGUGGUGGUGGUGACCUUUUGGACGCUUCGAUGAUUUGACUAACUGCCCUGCACACCCUUUCUUCUCCUUUUCUGGAGGUUACGUAAUGAUGAUUAAGCCGUGUCUGGGAUCCGCUGCAAAACAAUCAAUCAUAAAAGGGCAGCGGCUAACGGAAAUACCGAGAUAUAUUUGUAAAUUCAAGAACAGAGCGAGGGUAUGAGGUGCGUACAUCAGGUUUUCCAUGGUUUUGGUCUCCACUCCAAGUUCGGGUUCUUACAAUUCUAAUUUAUAUGAUUUUUACGUAGCUAUCCGGCGGAAGUAAACCUUGGUCGAUGUUGCCGUCUUCGCCACUUCGGCUGCUUCUGCCACUUCUUCUUGGCCGUGUGUUUAUUUGUGUUGUAAAUUGCGAAUGCGCCCCAAAGCAACAACAAAAGGGGGAAAAACAUAACGCGCAGUCGCGCACUUCAAUAAACAACAGGAGGAACACCACAACAGCCACAACAACUAUAUAUACUUGGGCAUUAGUUGCCGCUGCCAUUGCGUACGUGCCCGGACCCGGCGUCGCCAUCUCUAUGCACAGAAAAAUAAUAUAUUUUAAUGGAUAUAGUCACUUUAAGUCGAUUUUUCCAUUUUACAUCUGAUCUUUCUGUAAUCAUCGUUCAAAGGAGAAGCAGGAGUUCUU